UUUAUGGAGAGUUUGAUCCUGGCUCAGGAUGAACGCUGGCGGCGUGCCUAAUACAUGCAAGUCGAGCGAACGGAUGAGAAGCUUGCUUCUCUAAUGUUAGCGGCGGACGGGUGAGUAACACGUGGAUAACCUACCUAUAAGACUGGGAUAACUUCGGGAAAC
rnacentral:rRNA from 1 species